rnacentral:rRNA from 1 species
GAUCAUGGCUCAGAUUGAACGCUGGCGGCAGGCUUAACACAUGCAAGUCGAACGGUAGCAGGAGAAAGCUUGCUUUCUUGCUGACGAGUGGCGGACGGGUGAGUAAUGCUUGGGAAUCUGGCUUAUGGAGGGGGAUAACUACGGGAAACUGUAGCUAAUACCGCGUAGUAUCGAGAGAUGAAAGUGCGGGACCGUAAGGCCGCAUGCCAUGAGAUGAGCCCAAGUGGGA